AGCUCCAAUAGCGUAUAUUAAAGUUGUUGCGGUUAAAAAGCUCGUAGUUGGAUUUCUGUUGAGGGCAGCCGGUCCGCACCCUGUGCGUGUAUCUGGUUUGAUCUCGGCAUCCUCUCAAAAUACGUUCUGCGCUUGGUUGCGUGGGGCGGAGUUUGAGACUUUUACUUUGAGGAAAUUAGAGUGUUCACGGCAGGCAAUCGCCUUGAAUAUAUUAGCAUGGAAUAAUAAUAUAGGAUCUUGGUUCUAUUUUGUUGGUUUCUAGAGCUAGGAUAAUGAUUAAUAGGGACAAUUGGGGGCAUUCGUAUUAACACGUCAGAGGUGGAAUUCUUGGAUUGUGUUACGACGAACUACUGCGAAAGCAUUUGCCAAGGAUGUUUUCA
rnacentral:rRNA from 1 species